rnacentral:rRNA from 1 species
AUGGGGGAAAGCCUGCUGUUUUGCACACCAUGGUCCGGUUGGAAGUAUCAUAUGGCCUUGAAGGGUGGCUUCUUUCAUGUCUAUCCUCCUCACAUUGGCGGGCCUUUUCGAGGCCUAGGUGAAGCUGUCGCUGCGAUUGAGCGCCAUCGGGCUUCCCUUGCUCCGCCGCCUGCUGCCCAGGCCUCCCUUGCUCUGCUGCCUGUUGCCGAGGCUUCCCCUGCUCCGCCGCCUGCUGCAGAGCCUUCACUUGCCGCGGCGCCUGCUGCCGAGCCUUCCCCUGAUCCGCAACCUGCUGUUGAGGCUUCCCUCGCUCGACCGCCUUCUGCCGAGGAGGCUUCCCUUGAUCCACAACCUGCUAUUCAGGAUUACUUUGCUCUGCCGCCUUUUCCCGCUCUGCCGCCUUUUCCCAAGGAGGCUUCCCUUGAUCAACCACCUGCUGUUGAGGCUUCCCUUGAUCAACCACCUGCUGUUGAGGCUUCCCUUGAUCCACCACCUGCUGUUGAGGUUUCCGUUGCUUCGCCGGCUGCUGCCGCCGCGGAGGCUUCCGUUGCUUCGCCGGCUGCUGCCGCCGCGGAGGCUUCCGUUGCUUCGCCGGCUGCUGCCGCCACGGAGCCUUCCCUUGCUUCGCCGCCUGCUGCCGAGGAGGCUUCCCUUGCUUCGCCGUCUGCUGCCGAGGAGGCUUCCCUUGCUUCGCCGGCUGCUGCUGAGGCUUCUAAUUCACUAACUUAUGACUGGAGAGCAGAGGAACGAGAGAAAGGUCGCCAACUCAAGCUAUAUCUGUCUCAGCUUGACCCUGAUGAAUGCUUACGAUCUGUGAAGGCAACAUUGGCUAUGAUGAAGAAUCACCCUAAAAAGGAUAACAAGGCCGCUAAACAACCUAUAGAGAAAAGUUUGAUGGCUAGUGCUAGAGAGAAAUUAAAACCAACAACUACUGAUGAUCCGGGUAUCCUGGAAGCAUGCUAUCGCUUUGAAAGACUUAUGGAGGAGAAAGAAGCAAGAAAAAAUGGAAUGAAAUGGAUGAAAAAGGAGGUUCUUCGAGCAUUUGAAAACUAUAAAUCAGCAGAUAAAAAUCUUGAGUACGAGGUUGUGAUGAUUCACUCCCAGUGUCUCAUAUUUGACACCUUCUCAAAAUCAUACCAUCACUACAAUUUUACAAUGAGGACAAGACAGUCUCGGUCAAAGCAUUGGAACUACCAGCAAUUCUUUGCUGAAGCCAAAUCCAUGGAGGGUAAAACGCAGUACUUUUGCAUCCCGCUGCAGCCUAGUGAGCAUGGUCAUUGCUUUGGAUGCCGGAAGGUUGGCGUUUCUCUUAGACAUCCCGAGAGUGGCGGCUAUGAGAAGGGUAAUUCAGGCUCUGGAUUUCCAUUUGACACUGAUAGUGAGAGUGCUGACUGA